CCUUCCUCCCCGACGAAGGUGACGUACAGCUUAUUUCUCUGCAGGUCUUUUCGGGAGUAGGCCAUGAUCUGAUUAAAAGCAUCUUCGAGACUGGGCGCUUGCCAUUUCAUUUCCAUUUACCAUAACUAACGAGGCAAAAAGGAGUGACUUCAUGCCUUCGCUCUCUGCCAGCAACUGCUGCGUAAGAGGAGCGCUGAUCAACGGGGCACCCCACCUAUGACCUGCGAACACCGAGAGGCCCUCUGAGUGGUCAAGUCCAUCUAUCCAAGGAUAAUGGGCAACAUCACAGGCACAACCCUGUGCUGAGUAAAGGAAGAACAGCCCCAGAAGGUCAUGGUUGGAGCCCGAGUGCCCCUAGACAAGGAAUUGAGCCCAAGCUGCUGCAAGCCAAGCUGGAUUACUCAUGCCCAGUGCUGACUGGAGGGCGGAAUAUCUUUGCUGGCUGCUGAGAUGAUAUCAUGGCAAUUAGACAGGAAGUUAUCAUGUGAAAAGUAUGCGGUGUCUACAGCAAGAGCAGUGAGUUCCCAUCCUUCACUCCAUGGAAAACCUACGAAACUUCUUUUGGAAAACUCUGGCUUUGGGUCUGAAGGUAUCUAACCAACACGCCGGGAUACAGAAUCGGUGAUGAAAAUGGGAGUCAGGGCCCUGACAAGAACACUGGAAAUUUCCACCAGAGAUUUCACAACACAAUGAGAGAA